UUUCCUACGCAUUAACUCUGAAAUAAAAACUAUAUAUAUAAUUCUAAAUAAUAAACAAUUUUUUUUAAUUCAAAAAGAAAAAAGAAAAAGAAAAUUUAUUUGCUAACUAAUACAGAUGUAGGUUCAUUGUAGGAAGACUGUGGAGUGUGGAGGGUGUGAUCAGAUACAGACACCUCAUCGCAUCACUUAAAAAUAGAAAUAAAUACUUAAAAGAGUAAAAAAUAAAUAAAAAAGGAAAAAAUAAAUAUUUGAAAAAUUCACAAGUCUUCGAGCCACAUGUAAGCCAGGUUGCCCGGAGAAUUAUUAAACUAAUUACAUAAUUAAUCGAUGAUUAAAUAUUAAUCAUGCCAACUAAACGAUACACUUCUUAAAAGUAGUCAAGAUUUUGGAAAAUGGGUUUUGGUGGGGAUUAUUAUAUAUCCAGAGGGCAAUUAUGUCAUUUUCAGAAAUUAGAAUUUCAAUUACAUGUUUCAUAAAAUAAUAUUUAAUGUCAAUUUUUAUUAUUCAGAAAUGAAAUAAAUAAUGUUCUUUUGCAAUGUGAGGCACUAAUUACCAAACUUUUAGCCAAGUCAGCAUGUCUUUGCCAGCUUAAUCAAGCAAAAAAUCACCAAUCAUGGAAAUCAAAAGCCAAAUAGAUUUUCUUUACAUGAUUAUAAAGAACAUGCAGCUCUUUCAUAAUUAAAUUAUACAAUUCAAUGGCUAUAAACUAAUACAGUCGAAACUUUCAAAAUUCCAUUCGUUUAGCAAAAAAUUAAAUUAUCGAACUAGUAUUUUAGUAUAUUUUUCGAAUCUUGCCAUUUCCCCUACUUCCCCAAUUUGUAACAUGAUUUAAAUUUCUAUCGAGUACUAAUUUAUGGAGGUUUUAUUCUACUUAAUCUCACAUUCUUAAAACUAAUUCAAUUAACAAAAAAAUAAGCAUAUGAAUUUGCUAUUUAGCUCUUCAAAAAAAAUUACUUAUUUAUUUAUUUGAAGGCCAAUUAUUAAUAAGUCAGUCAUCACUUGGACUGGUCUUUGGUUCAAUUUCCAGAGCAAAAAUAAUUUGUCACACAUAUAUGUCAGAUGGUAUAUAUAUACACAUAUAUACACACACACAGAGAAAGAACCCUACUUGCAUUAUUUCAAAUAUAUAUAUACAUAUAUAUAUUAUAUAUAAAUAAAUAUUAUUUAAUUUAAAUUGAAGCACUUACCACACAAAGUGGCCAUUAACUUGAGACAACAAGGCCUGUCUGAGUGCAUGGUUUUACUCUACCCAAUGCCAAAUCUUUAGCUCCUGUAAUUAAAAAAAAACACAUAACUGUGUGUUAAUUUUUAUGUAUUUCUUCAUAAUCUGAACAACACGAAAAACAAAAAGCCAAUACUCAAACCCCAAGACAAGUUCAAUACAGAUUAUAAAACUACUAGUACAAGAACCUUAGAAUAAUAUUACAUCAUUAAUUACACAGUCUGCAACUCCUUUUAAAGCAUUUAUUUCUAUUAUUUUAUUUUCAAAAUACCCCCUUAGAUCCAACCCACCCACACUUUAGAUUCUUACAGCUUGUGUUCAUUACACACACCCAAAAUAAAAAAUAAAAAAAUAGAUAGAUGGUCUGUCUGCAACUACAUGGAAAGAGGGUCACCCUUUUCUUGAUGAAAAUAAACCAGGUAAAAAAACACACAUAUAUGUAUGUAAAGAUAUGUAAUGUUUUUUUAUUUCUACAUAGUUUUUUUGAAAUAAUUGGUCUGAUUUCUGAUCCAUAGAUGAACAGUAAAAGGGUUUUCAGACUCUGGUGAGGGGAGGGGGACCCACAGUUGAAUUGAAGAAAGAAGAAGAUGAAUGAAUAUAUUCACAUGUGUGUAUGAGAAAUCUUAAUCUUACUCUUACAGACUGUUGCAUUCAUCUUCUGAUCAGAGUUCCCAGUUUCAACCACUCAUUGAACUCCACCUGUCAUAAUCAAACCAAGGUUAAGAAGAAAGAAAGGAAAACUUAAAAAAAGCCAAAAGUUCCUAUUUUUCUUGCAUUGCUUAAAAAAAGAUUGUUAGCAGGAAGAAAGUGUUUGAGGUGUGGGAGUUUGGGGGGCCGGGGCCUCCUCAUUCAUUCAUUAACAGAACAUGGGUGAAGAAGCAGAAAUCCCCACCGUUGAUUAUGACACCAAGUCACUUACGGUGAAGAUAUCUAAUUCCGGCAAGGAAACUCUCGCCGGCAACUCGUUGACGAAGAACCCAUCGGCGAAUUCGUCUCCGUACAACUCCCCACUUAUCUCCCCUCCUUCAUCAGCCUUCGUUUCGGCAUUGCAAUCACCUUACAUUUCUCCAAGGGCUACCGUCGCCACCACCGCCGGAGCCGGAGCCGGAGCCGGAAACCCUUCCGACGAAAGUCCAACUCCGGCGACCACACUCACCCACCCCUCCUAUCCGGUUUCCUCCGACGAUGUCCCCAGCACGUCCUACAACACCCCACCGCCGGAGAAGCUCAAGAUCGUCACUUGCGUUCCGGGUCCGGGUCCGGGUCCGGGCCAGGAAAAUGCGGGCCGGAUUUCGUUCUCGUUUCCCGCCCCUCGAAUCUCGUUCGCCAAGGGCGGGUACGCCUCUUCUCCCGCCGGCGCCGCCGCCGCCGCCGCGAACGCGAAGCUGAGGAGCUGCGACGUGUACGUGGGCUUUCACGGCCAGAACCCUAACUUAUCUCGGUUCUGCAAAUGGCUGAAAUCGGAGCUCGAGAUACAGGGCAUCGCCUGCUUCGUCGCCGACAGAGCAAAGUACGCCGACAACCAGAGCCACGAAAUCGCCGACAGGGUUAUCUGCUCCGUCGCCUACGGUGUCGCGGUGGUCACAAACCACAGCCUCCUCAACCACCUCAGCUUAGAAGAAAUCAGAUUCUUCGCCCAGAAAAAGAAUCUAAUCCCAUUAUUUUUCAACACCGACGCCGACGAAAUCACCACCCUCUUCAACCCAAACGGAGACAAUAACAACAAGGAGUGUAAAGAAGCACUCGACGGACUAAUGAAAUGCCACGAGUUCAAAUUAGAAGCCGAUGAGGGAAACUGGAGAAGCACCGUAUCAAGAACCGCCGCCAUAUUGAGGGGCAAACUCGGAAGAAAGAGCGUCGCCGAAAAGGAAAUCAAUGCACACACAAACGAAGAACUACCCUUUCCUCGAAACAAGAAUUUCGUCGGCAGGGAGAAAGAAAUUACAGAUAUCGAAACUGCAUUUUUCGGGUGUGGAGAUUAUUUCGAGCAAGAAUGUAGUAGAAUUACGGUCCCGACCGUUAAAAACGUGACACCUGGACAAUCCGACGACGGAGAAAGCGAAGUCGGAGGCAAAUACAUUAGUUUGGAACCGAAUUUAGAGGCGUGGGUUGAGCCAGCAAUUGGAAGAAACUCUCUCAAAAGGGCUAAAUACAAGAAAUCGAAAAGUGGGAAGUACAAGAGCUUUGGUAGCAGCAUUGUGUGUGUAACCGGUUCACCGGGAGUUGGAAAAACCGAGCUGGCUUUGGAAUUCGCUCACCGAUUCUCGCAGAGGUACAAGAUGGUUUUGUGGGUGGGCGGGGAAUCUCGGUAUUUCAGGCAGAAUAUACUGAACAUAUCUCUCAACAUGGGAUUGGAUGUGAGCGCGGACGAAGAGAAGGAGAGGGGUAGGAUCCGUAAUUUCGACGAACAAGAAUCGGAAGCGUUCAAAAGGGUUAAAAGGGAAUUGUUUCGCGAGAUGCCCUAUUUACUCAUAAUCGACAAUCUUGAAACCGAGAGGGAAUGGUGGGAAGGUAAAGACCUACACGAUUUAAUACCAAGAAACACGGGCGGGACCCACGUGAUCAUUACAAGUAGGCUCUCGAGAGUGAUGAGCAUCGAUCCGAUGCAUCUUCAGACACUGCC
rnacentral:lncRNA from 1 species